rnacentral:rRNA from 1 species
AUUGAACGCUGGCGGCAGGCCUAACACAUGCAAGUCGAGCGAGCGGCGGACGGGUGCGUAAUGUAUGGGGACUGCCCGAUAGAGGGGGAUAACUACUGGAAACGGUAGCUAAUACCGCAUACUAUCGGAUAACCCAUAUGGGAUUAGCUAGUAGGUGAGGUAAUGGCUCACCUAGGCGACGAUCCAUAGCUGGUCGGAGAGGAUGAUCAGCCACACUGUGACUGAGACACGGCCCAGACUCCGACGGAGGCAGCAGUGGGGAAUAUUGGGCAAUGGGCGCAAGCCUGAUGGAGCCAUGCCGCGUGUAUGAAGAAGGCCCUAGGGUUGUAAAGCACUGUCAGUAGGGAGGCGUUACCGACAGAGGAAGCACCGGCUAACUCCGUGCCAGCAGCCGCGGUAAUUC